rnacentral:rRNA from 1 species
GACCGAUAGCGAACAAGUAGAGUGAUCGAAAGAUGAAAAGCACUUUGAAAAGAGAGUUAAACAGCACGUGAAAUUGUUGAAAGGGAAGCGCUUGCGACCAGACUCGCCCGCGGGGUUCAGCCGGCAUUCGUGCCGGUGUACUUCCCCGUGGGCGGGCCAGCGUCGGUUUGGGCGGCCGGUCAAAGGCCCCUGGAAUGUAGUGCCCUCCGGGGCACCUUAUAGCCAGGGGUGCAAUGCGGCCAGCCUGGACCGAGGAACGCGCUUCGGCACGGACGCUGGCAUAAUGGUCGUAAACGACCCGUCUUGAAACACGGACCAAG